rnacentral:rRNA from 1 species
CCUACGGGUGGGCGGAUGAGUGGAACAGAAGAAAAAGCAUCGGCUAACUCCGUGCCAGCAGCCGCGGUAAGACGGAGGAUGCGAGCGUUAUCCGGAUUUAUUGGGUUGAAAGGGUGCGUAGGCGGACAGUCAAGUCAGCGGUAAAAAUGCGGCGCUCAACGCCGUACAGCCGUUGAAACGGGCAGUCUUGAGUGGGCGAGAAGUAUGCGGAAUGCGUGGUGUAGCGGUGAAAUGCAUAGAUCUCACGCAGAACUCCGAUUGCGAAGGCAGCAUACCGGCGCCCGACUGACGCUGAGGCACGACCGCGUGGGUAUCGAACCGGAUUAGCUACCCUAGUAGUC